AAACGAUUGAAGUCAGUCGUGUUCUUUGGACUCAGCCGGUUCUUCCGGUCUAUUUCCUUUGAACGGGUCAACAUCAGUUUUGUCCGGUGGAUAAAGGCAGGAAGAAAGUGGCUCCCUCGGGAGUGUUAUAGCUUUCUGUCACAUACACUGGAGGAGACUGAGGACUGCAGCUCGCCUUUUGGCCGGGGUUCGCCCACGUUCGAGCUUAGGAUGUUGACAUAAUGGCUUUAAACGA
rnacentral:rRNA from 1 species